AACAACAAAAACAAAGGAACAAAAAAAAGAAGACAUUAUUUGAUGGAUUACUAAGGCCAUUAUUUUUCUCUUCAAGUUUAAAAAUUCUCUUCACAAGUAUAUGCUUCUUUUUUCUUUAGUAGGCCUUUUAUGAAAGCGAAUGGAUAUUUAUGGAUCUAUUCUCCUGCACAUGCGAUGCGACUAGUUAAAGUUGUUCCAUGAAAAAGUUUCUUCUGCAGAAUGAGUGCAAACUUUAACUUCAUGAAUUGAAAACUAAAGCUCCAGCACAUGGUCCAUAUUAAAGGAAGGACAAUAUCUCUUUUUGGGUUUCUCUGAAGAUCGGAUCGACUUAACUGCUUUAUUCAAAUAAUUCCAAAUUCUCUUUUGCAGUUGGCUUAUAAAGAGUUUUGUACCAUCCUUCAGCUGCAAGAGAAGUAGAUGAGCCUUUGGGAAAAUGAUAGAUCAUAGAUGUGCAUGUCCUGGCAUUCCAGAAAUACCAAGUAGAUGAAUCUAAAGCGACAAGUUUCAGCUACUCAAAGAUCUGAUGUGCAUAGGAUUACCUGAAACAAAGGCAACAAUAGAUAAGAAGAUGUAUCAUCAAGGCCACAACAACAUCGUUUCUUCUAGGGAAGCAUUUCCUCCAGAGAGGCAUUUGUUAUUGCAACAAUGGGGGAGCAUUCCAGACGAAUCGGGACUAGUGCUAUCGACUGAUGCAAAGCCAAGGUUGAAGUGGACACCUGAACUCCAUGAUAAAUUCAUAGAAGCAGUUAAUCAACUUGGCGGAGCAGACAAGGCAACACCAAAAAGCAGUCAUGAGGCUCAUGGGCAUUCCUGGACUGACACUGUAUCACCUAAAAAGCCAUCUUCAGAAGUACAGACUCAGCAAAAAUCUUCAACCUCAAGCAAACAUGGGAAGUACUAAGAGUGGUAAGAGCAAAUCCAAAUUUAUCAAACAUAAUGAGCUUGCAAGCUAAUACAUAAUGCUGCAGUUGUAGGUUGUUACUCUAUGUGUGUUUUGGACAGCCCCGAAAAAAGUAUAUCAAUUGUUUUUUAUCAUGAUUUCUUUGACAAUGAGUACGAACUGCUAGUGAGCAUUGAAGACAUCACACUUUUUUAUGAGUUGGAGCCAAUAUCUGCUAAUUGUCUGGUUGCUUACAUGUGGUCGGGCAAUUCGUGAGUCUUGAGUUUUUUUGAUGCAAGAAGUGAGCUUUGUUAGGAUGUAGCUUGCCUUGCUAAUAUGUAAAUUAAAAUCCAUAUGGAGAACAUCAAAUGGAAAACAUGUGAUUUAAUGUAUAUGGAGAACAUGUGUAUUUUGAUGAGUAACAACUCAUUUUGUAUAUUUUUAUAUAUGUGUGGCUACAAGAUGAAUUAUA